rnacentral:rRNA from 1 species
UACGUAGGGUGCGAGCGUUAAUCGGAAUUACUGGGCGUAAAGCGUGUGUAGGCGGUUUUGUAAGUCAGGUGUGAAAGCCCCGGGCUUAACCUGGGAAUGGCAUUUGGGACCGCAAGGCUUGAGUGCGGCAGAGGAGACUGGAAUUCCUGGUGUAGCAGUGAAAUGCGUAGAUAUCAGGAGGAAUACCGAUGGCGAAGGCAGGUCUCUGGGCUGACACUGACGCUCAUGCACGAAAGCGUGGGGAGCAAACAGG